AUUAUUUAUUCAAUGUCAAUUUGAAAUUAGAUCUUCGUCAUCCGUAUUUGAGCAUUUGCACAUUGCUGUUGCGAGUUACAGUAAAAAAAAUUUGGUAAUCCGUCCGAUGAUAGUUCGACAUUCGAAUUUGCUCAUUCGUUUACUGCAUUUCAACAUUUGUUCGUUGUUUUACCAUUACAUGUAUGACGACAGAGGACGCGCGCUACAUCGAAUCUUUUGGGAAACAGACUAUAGAAUCAUAUUGGAGGACCAGUUUAUGUGACAUUCCCUCGGAUCUAUUAUUUUCCCGGCCUUUCGAAGUCCGAGAUGAUGUCACUAUACAUUUCAUUUUAAAAAGAAAUUGCAGAUCUGCUCAUUCGAUUGGAUGGAUUCUAUUUCUGUAUGCUCUGAAAUGAGAUUAUCACCUAUCGAUGUGGAACAUCUUUAUCAAAGCAACAUACAUCCCCCAGGAAAUAAGCUUUAAUGAUUUCGCGUUUUAAUGUUAUUGAUUUGAAUAUUAUAAUUAUCCUUACAGUUAAUUUGUGAGUGUACUUUUGUAUUUUUCAUUAAAGAAAAUCCCAUUGA